UACGUAGGGGGCGAGCGUUGUCCGAAGUUACUGGGCGUAAAGCGCGCGUAGGCGGUCUCUUAAGUCUGGUGUGAAAGGUUCAGGGCUCAACCCGAAGAGUGCACUGGAGACUGGGAGACUUGAGUGGGGGAGAGGAGAGUGGAAUUCCUGGUGUAGCGGUGAAAUGCGUAGAUAUCAGGAGGAACACCGAUGGCGAAGGCAGCUCUCUGGCCCUUUUCUGACGCUGAGGUGCGAAAGCGUGGGGAGCGAACGGGAUUAGAAACCCCGU
rnacentral:rRNA from 1 species